UUUCGCAAUGCCCGAAAGGGUGACGAAGCGACGCCGCGUGCGGGAAGAAGGCCUUCGGGUUGUAAACCGCUGUCGGGAGUUAAGAAAUGCAAGGGUGUUAACAGCAUCCUUGCUUGACUAAGGCUCCGGAGGAAGCCACGGCUAACUCUGUGCCAGCAGCCGCGGUAAUACAGAGGUGGCAAGCGUUGUUCGGAAUUAUUGGGCGUAAAGAGCACGUAGGCGGCUGUGUAAGUCGGUUGUGAAAGCCUUCCGCUCAACGGGAGAACGGCAUCCGAUACUGCAUGGCUUGAGUGCGGAAGGGGAGAGUGGAACUUCUGGUGGAGCGGUGAAAUGCGUAGAUAUCAGAAGGAACACCGGCGGCGAAGGCGACUCUCUGGUCCGUAACUGACGCUGAGUGUGCGAAAGCUAGGGGAGCAAACGGGAUUAGAUACCCCGGUAGUCCUAGCCGUAAACGAUGGGCACUAAGUAGAGGGGUUUUA
rnacentral:rRNA from 1 species